GCUGGGCAUGGCGGCGGCGCCUGUAGUCCCAGCUACUCGGGAGGCUGAGGCAGGAGAACGGCGGGAACCCGGGAGGCGGAGCUUGCAGUGAGCCGAGAUCGCGCCACUGCACUCCAGCCUGGGCGACAGAGCGAGACUCCGCCUCAAAAAAAAAAAAGAAAAAGAAAAAGAAGUAAAAGGAAGUUUUUUGUUUGUUUUUUUGAGACGGAGUCUUGCUCUGUUGCCCAGGCUGGGGUGCAGUGGUGCGAUCUCAGCUCACUGCAAGCUCCGCCUCCCGGGUUCCGGCCAUUCUCCUGCCUCAG
rnacentral:sRNA from 1 species